AAAAAAGCAGGGAUCUGUUGCCCUUUGUGAACUGGUCUCCUGUAAACUUCAGGGAUAGAAAUUUGCAAUGUUUUUGGGUGAACCUCAAGUUCCAAUGAUUGAUGGUUCACUAAACAAUGUUACACCA
rnacentral:snoRNA from 1 species